CACAAAAUGAGACAGAGGAUUGUUGUGGGAACUGUGUACUAGUGACAAUAUUUCAUGAUGGCUUCGGUUAGGGAGGCAAGUAUGAGCUGACUUGUCCCCUAUUGUGCGGUAGCUAACUGAUAAUCCUGUGGUGGGAAUGGAAAGUGUAAGGUGCUGUAUUUCUACUAAAGCUCUUCUCUGCUAAGCCUGAGAUUCUCUUUCAUGAACAACUGCAGGGGAACCUCACACCAUAUAAGGAGGAGCAGGAGCACUAGGAGACAGAUAUUAACCAACACUGUGAAUGCCAUUCGAGGUAAAGUCUUCUCCAUCAAAGGCUGUUGAUGAAGAACCAGGCUUCUGCCAUGUGCUCACACUUCUUCAAACUGAUGACAUCCCAUGGUGAAGGUGAAGCUGGAGGGAGUAGAGGUGCCUGCGUACUUCACAAUGAGAUCCAGUUUCAACAUGUGAAGCCUUGGGGGACACACUCAACGAUGUCCAAAUGGCUGGGACUCUAGCUGCUUUGACAAAGUGCUCAGAAGUAUCCAAAUUCAUUACAAUGGUGCAUGGAAAACCAGAUUUGCAAGUUUUGGAGGAGGUUGAAAGUGAAUCAUCAGGUGACUCAUGCAUUGAUGAUGAUGAUGAUGAUGAUAAUUGAUGUUGGCCGUGUGAGCCAAAGUUCCUGUGAUGCUGAAAUGGAGCAAGAAUUGACUGAUAUAGACACAAGGAAUAAAGACCUCCCUGAUUCAGAUGAUGAAGAAAACAGCAAUCUUAGUACAUGUAUGACUAGUCCAAAUGGUACAAAAUGGUCAUGAAACCAAAUGAAAUGAUCCAAUGUUAGAACUAGGUCCAAAAAUAUAGUGAGGAUCUUGGCAGGGUGAAUCCAAUUGGAUGGAAUGUCAGCACUACCAUUCAAUGUUGGAAAUUAUUUGUAAGAGAAAAAAUGCUACAAGAUGUUGUGAAAUUCACAAAUGAUGAAAUACAAGUAAAAAGUUCUUUAUGCAUUGAUAACCAUACUAAAAAAUGUGUUUAUUGUGACCUCUUACUAGCUGAACUGAAAGCAUUCUCUUACUUUCUGAACUGAAAGCAUUCAUAGGUCUGCUGUACUUAGCAGGGCUUUCUCAUGAUAAUUGCAGGAAUUUAAAAGCUUUAUGGAGAAGUGAUGAGUGU
rnacentral:lncRNA from 1 species